rnacentral:rRNA from 1 species
CUUGGUCAUUUAGAGGAAAGUAAAAGUCGUAACAAGGUUCCCUUCCGCCGCUCAGCACGGAGACCUUGCAACCCCGAGGGGAGGCAGCACGACAGUAAAUAAAGCUUGCCGUUUGCAAGUCGGUCAAUCGGCCGGGCAACACAAUCGAAUUGACGGGGACCUCCUAAAGCCUGUAGCACCAACCGUCCGGGGAAACUCGGACGGGGCCCUCACGGGGUGGUAAGAGAUUACAGGAUGUAACAAUGGACAAUCCGCAGCGAAGACCCUACCGGCUCCGGCCCACGGGUACCGUUCACAGACUAAGUGAUUGUGGGCGGGGCAAUCGUGCCCUGUCUAAGAUAGAGUCGGACUCUACCCGAAAGGAUAGAGGCUAGCAUGUCCGUAGGUGAACCUGCGGAAGGAUCAUUAAAGAAUGCCCCGUUUUUUGAAAUGGGUUCUAUUCCCAAACCGUGUAUACAUACCUUUGUUGCUUUGGCAGGCCGCCUUCGGGCGUCGGCUCACGCUGACCGCGCCUGCCAGAGGACCCAAACUCGUUUGUCUAGUGAUGUCUGAGUACUAUAUAAUAGUUAAAACUUUCAACAACGGAUCUCUUGGUUCUGGCAUCGAUGAAGAACGCAGCGAAAUGCGAUAAGUAAUGUGAAUUGCAGAAUUCAGUGAAUCAUCGAAUCUUUGAACGCACAUUGCGCCCCUUGGUAUUCCGAGGGGCAUGCCUGUUCGAGCGUCAUUAUGACCACUCAAGCCUAGCUUGGUAUUGGGGUUCGCGGUCUCGCGGCCCUUAAAAUCAGUGGCGGUGCCAUCUGGCUCUACGCGUAGUAAUUUAUCUCGCUAUUGGGUCCGGUAGUUGCUUGCUAACAACCCCUAACUUCUAAGGUUGACCUCGGAUCAGGUAGGGAUACCCGCUGAACUUAAGCAUAUCAAUAAGCGGAGGA